GAUGAACGCUGGCGGCGUGCCUAAUACAUGCAAGUCGAGCGAACGGACGAGAAGCUUGCUUCUCUGAUGUUAGCGGCGGACGGGUGAGUAACACGUGGAUAACCUACCUAUAAGACUGGGAUAACUUCGGGAAACCGGAGCUAAUACCGGAUAAUAUUUUGAACCGCAUGGUUCAAAAGUGAAAGACGGUCCUGCUGUCACUUAUAGAUGGAUCCGCGCUGCAUUAGCUAGUUGGUAAGGUAACGGCUUACCAAGGCAACGAUGCAUAGCCGACCUGAGAGGGUGAUCGGCCACACUGGAACUGGGACACGGUCCAGACUCCUACGGGAGGCAGCAGUAGGGAAUCUUCCGCAAUGGGCGAAAGCCUGACGGAGCAACGCCGCGUGAGUGAUGAAGGUCUUCGGAUCGUAAAACUCUGUUAUUAGGGAAGAACAUAUGUGUAAGUAACUGUGCACAUCUUGACGGUACCUAAUCAGAAAGCCACGGCUAACUACGUG
rnacentral:rRNA from 1 species